GAGACACGCUGGCGGCGUGCUUAACACAUGCAAGUCGAACGGGAGUAUUGAAGAAGCUUGCUUUAGAGAUACUUUAGUGGCGGACGGGUGAGUAACGCGUGAGGAGCUGUCCUAUGCAGGGGGACAACAGCUGGAAACGGCUGCUAAUACCCCAUAAGCCGAGAGGUAAAAGGAUCAAUCCGGCAGAGGAGGUACUCGCGUCCUAUCAGCUAGUAGGUGAGGUAACGGCUCACCUAGGCGAAGACGGGUAGCCGGCCUGAGAGGGCGAACGGCCACACUGGAACUGAGAUACGGUCCAGACUCCUACGGGAGGCAGCAGUGGGGAAUAUUGGGCAAUGGGGGAAACCCUGACCCAGCGACGCCGCGUGGGUGAAGAAAUCCUUCGGGAUGUAAAGCCCUGUUGUAUGGGAAGAGCGGAAGACGGUACCAUACGAGGAAGCCCCGGCAAACUACGUG
rnacentral:rRNA from 1 species